AAGGCUUUAAAAAUGUGUCAUAACGAAGCAAGUCUUUGAAAUUUGCAAAAAUAAGUAAUAAUCAACAUAUACUGCAUCAUGAGUAGGCACGAUAUAAGCGGUGUUUCUAUCCAAGUCUUUUUAAGUUCACUGAGUAAGUGCAUGCAUGGCGAAAUUCAUGGCAGCGACGAGUGCCAAGCUGUGGCUCGAUAUGGAGAGCUUAAUGAAAACGGCCGAAUAGUAGUUGUAUUCGUGAGAAUAUGCAAGUGUAAUGCGAAAUUUGAAGACAGAGAAAAUCUUUUGUAUAAUAAUUACAUCGGCAGUGGAAGGCUAGUUCUACCAUUCGACGGAGUAGAUGUGCACAAUCAUGAAGCCUGCGAGUAUAUCACUAGGAAGAAGGAUUUUCCAUCUUUUAAUUACAGGCUUGAGUUGUCUUGUCACUGCCAAGAUAUAAAACCGAUAGGAAGAGUUUUAGACUACAAUUAGAAAAGUCAAGAACCAUAGAUCUCCCUACAAGCUGAACAGAAUUGCCACCAUAACAACUAGAAACUGGAUCCUACCUAAUGAAUCCAAGUAAAUAAAGCAAACUUGUCAAAUUCAAAAUUGGGAUGGUAUAUAAUAAUGUGUGGUAAACAGAGUGCAUGCUUUUGUCUAUAAGACGUUGUUAAACAUCAAAACGUGUUUUUUUUCAGUUGUACAAUUUUCCUUUAAGUUUAAAAUCAUUCUGUGGUGAAAGUUUUAUCAUUGCAACAAAGGUAAAAUAUGACUUACUUUGUUCAUUUGAAACUUUUUUUUGUAAAUGUUUUCCUUAGAAUACAUACAGUUUGCAUUCUCUUCGAAGAAAGAUAAAUAAAAAGAUAUUAUUGUGUUUUUCGAGGAAUUUCAUCGAAGCCUAUUUUAUGUUACAUGAAAAUGAAUAUGUAUUUGAGCAAGACCUGUUGUUAUUUGUUUGUGAAUUUAGUAACAAUCUUAUUUGGGUAUUAAUAAAUGUCCUUUUUAUCA